UACAGAGGGUGCAAGCGUUAAUCGGAAUUACUGGGCGUAAAGCGUGUGUAGGCGGAUAUCUAAGUCGGAUGUGAAAUCCCCGGGCUUAACCUGGGAACUGCAUUCGAUACUGGAUGUCUAGAGUAUGGUAGAGGAAAGUGGAACUCCCGGUGUAGCGGUGAAAUGCGUAGAUAUCGGGAAGAACACCAGUGGCGAAGGCGGCUUUCUGGACCAAUACUGACGUUAAGGCACGAAAGCGUGGGGAGCAAACAGG
rnacentral:rRNA from 1 species